UCUGUUGUAAUUUGUUUAUUGAACUGUACUGCAAUUAUGAGUAAUAACUUAAUUAAUAUAAAUGUUACCACGUUGUAGAGCUCAUAUUUUAUAGUAACAUUUCCUGGUUUGAUGAUCCAUGUUCAUCAUAUCUUGAGCAAGAAUGAUAUGAACGUGACAAUCUUCUAAUAGCAUUCAGAUUACUCAAUGGAUAAUUGAAUCGAAUUAAAGUAUACCAUGAUAAAAGCAUGUCCGUCCUUAAUGGAGUAGAGAUCGAAAUAUCGUGUAUCCUCGCACAUCAUAA
rnacentral:lncRNA from 1 species